UACGAAGGGGGCUAGCGUUGUUCGGAAUCAUUGGGCGUAAAGGGCGCGUAGGCGGUUCCGCAAGUCGGGCGUGAAAGCCCUGGGCUUAACCCAGGAAUUGCGUUCGAAACUGCGGGGCUAGAGGCCGGGAGAGGAGAGUGGAAUUCCCAGUGUAGAGGUGAAAUUCGUAGAUAUUGGGAAGAACACCGGUGGCGAAGGCGGCUCUCUGGACCGGUUCUGACGCUGAGGCGCGAAAGCGUGGGGAGCAAACAGG
rnacentral:rRNA from 1 species